rnacentral:rRNA from 1 species
CCAAUAGCGUAUAUUAAAGUUGUUGCAGUUAAAAAGCUCGUAGUUGAAUUUCGGGGUCAGUAGGUUGGUCGUGCCACUGGUAUGUACUGGUCUCACUGAUUCCUCCUUCCUGAUGAGCUGUAAUGCCAUUAAUUUGGUGUUGCAGGGAAUCUGGACUGUUACUUUGAAAAAAUUAGAGUGUUUAAAGCAGGCUAACGCUUGAAUACAUUAGCAUGGAAUAAUGAAAUAGGACGUUCGAUCCUAUUUUGUUGGUUUCUAGGAUUGACGUAAUGAUUAAUAGGGAUAGUUGGGGGCAUUAGUAUUCAAUUGUCAGAGGUGAAAUUCUUGGAUUUAUUGAAGACUAACUACUGCGAAAGCAUUUGCCAAGGAUGUUUUCAUUAAUCAAGAACGAAAGUUAGGGGAUCGAAGACGAUCAGAUACCGUCGUAGUCUUAACCAUAAACUAUGCCGACUAGGGAUCGGAUGAUGUUAAUUUUUUAAUGACUCAUUCGGCGCCUUACG